rnacentral:rRNA from 1 species
CCCAGACUCCUACGGGAGGCAGCAGUGAGGAAUAUUGGUCAAUGGGCGCGAGCCUGAACCAGCCAAGUCGCGUGAGGGAUGACGGCCCUACGGGUUGUAAACCUCUUUUGCCGGGGAGCAACGGGCGCCACGUGUGGCGCCACUGAGAGUGCCCGGAGAAAAAGCAUCGGCUAACUCCGUGCCAGCAGCCGCGGUAAUACGGAGGAUGCGAGCGUUAUCCGGAUUUAUUGGGUUUAAAGGGUGCGCAGGCGGAAUGUCAAGUCAGCGGUAAAAUUUCGGGGCUCAACCCCGUCGUGCCGUUGAAACUGGCGUUCUUGAGUGAGCGAGAAGUAUGCGGAAUGCGUGGUGUAGCGGUGAAAUGCUUAGAUAUCGCGCAGAACCCCGAUUGCGAAGGCAGCGUACCGGCUCCACACUGACGCUGAGGCACGAAAGCGUGGGUAUCGAACAGGAUUAGAUACCCUAGUA